AUGUCAUAACCCCACCAUCUCCUGGUCGAGGAUAAAAAUCACUGCCUGAAGACCUUCUUUCCUGUAACCUGUGGUUCCACACCAGUUGAGAGUCCCGAAAGUGCCCUCCAGCCCAUCAGUCGGUCCUCCCGUAUCAUUGGCCCUGUGAUUUGUGACGUAGAUGUGGACAUCCGGCAGGCUCUGGGGAAGGAAUCCCCUCCUGCUACCGGCACUCCAGAACGCAUCUAUGUCACCACGGGGGUAAGAGAUCGGCUGUUCACCUGGGCACACGCAUUCCUCGCCUCUGGACACCCAGGUAUCACUUGCACUAUCCAAUCCCUCUCUGAAAAGUACUGGUGGCCCACCUUGGCGCAGGGCAUCGCCUGCUAUGUCAACUCCUGCUCCAUAUGUACCCAAACCGAAUCACCCCGGCACGCUCCAGCAGAGAAACUACUUCCCCUUCCCGUGCCUCAGGGCCCUGGUCCCAUCUGUCCAUAGACUUCGCUCCACAAGGAACUUCCAGCUCCGCCUGCCCUCCCGGAAGCUGAGCCCCCCAGUUUGUGGGGCCCUUCACGGUCCUCCGAAGGGUCAAUGAGGUCGGUGGUUCCCGGUCCACUGGCUGAUGCGUCCCCCAUGACACCACUCCACCUCAACUGAACAUUGAUGGGACCCCUACCUAUGCCGUCAGGUCCCUAUUGGACUCCCGACGUCAGCUUCAGUACCUGGUGGACUGGGAGGGGUGCGGUCCAGAGGAAAGCUGUUGUGUUUCGGACGACGACAUCCUAGACCCCAACAUUGUCCAGGAUUUCCAUCUCCGCCUUCUCAUUGCCCUAGGGCCGUCCUCCUGGUCGGCAUCUUCGGGAGGGGGUACUGUCACACCUACUCCCGCUCCCUCUCUCCAAAACCGGCUCUAUAAGUCAUAGCUACUAUCUAGGUUUAUUAUUAUCAUUUUUUAUUAUAACCGGUGUUGCAAAAGGCCUGUGACAUACCUAGCGUUCUUUUUCUUUGUGGAAAUUGUUAGUUUUUGACUAAAGAAUGUGUAAUGCUUAGGAGAGAUGGUAAUCCAUGAUUCAGAUCAGGAGGAUUGAGAUUGUGAGUCAUUUUCAUAGUCUCACAAAAGGACAAAUGUUCCUGUAUUUGCUGUCACCUCAACUGUUGCUCGUCAGCAACAACCUUAUGAAGUGUUGUUAGUCAGCUGAAACCCUCACUCAUUCAAAGUGACCUUGUUUUAGCAGAAGGGUCGACUUCAGGAGUGAACGUUAUUUAUGAUAAGGGUUACACAGAGAAAAUCGGACAUCUCUGAAAUGGAAAUGGAUGUCUCUACGUUCAGCAAAUUAUAUUUUACCUAAACCUUCACUGAACGCUUGAUAAAAAAACAAGUGACACUCCUCAUGCCCCAACAAUUAUUAAAACAAAGUGGAUAACAGAACAUCCUUACAGUUUAACCUCACCUCUUGGAGACACCAGAGCCUUAGAUAUGCCGUUUCAGAAACUGUUCUUCGUCCUGUCAGCACUACAUGGCAACGCAGGAAUUUUGAUAGCGGACAGGGCUGCGGGCCAGAAGGUUGUGUUUUCACAGACACCUAUGGACAAGAGUAAGGUUGGAAAGAUCUAAUUCAUAGUAAAAGCAUUGCAUGAGUCUAUCAUCGUAUUUGCAGCAAAAUUUGCCAUUAUAAACAAUUCAUGCAACUCUACGGAAUUUUACAUAUUAGCAGAAUAUUUUUUAAUAUUACACAAAUUACUCAAAUUACAGGCUAAGAAUGGACAUGGAGAUAGCCCUAUGUGUUCAUCUUAUCCAGUGAUGACCUGUCAUUCAGGGCAGCUUGGUUUUUCAUGUUUAGCUUUGUUUGAGCCUCACCUAUUUUGCAUGUUAAUCUGGCAAUAUGUGUCACAUAUCAGUUUGCAAACAAUGUACAAAGAAUAGAAAAGAAAAAACAUUAAGUUAAUAAAACCACAUACAAACA